rnacentral:tRNA from 1 species
GGAGUUGUGGCUCAGUGGUAGAGCGCUUGCCUAGCAUGUGUGAGGCACUGGGUUCGACUCUCAGCAUCACCU